rnacentral:tRNA from 1 species
GUCCCCGUAGCUCAGCUGGAUAGAGCGACAGCCUCCUAAGCUGUAGGUCGCAGGUUCGAAUCCUGCCGGGGACGCCA